rnacentral:rRNA from 1 species
UACGUAGGGGGCUAGCGUUGUCCGGAAUCAUUGGGCGUAAAGAGCGCGUAGGCGGCCAGAUAAGUCCGGUGUGAAAGUCACAGGCUCAACCUGUGAAUGCCGCUGGAAACUGUCUGGCUAGAGUCCGGAAGGGGCGAGUGGAAUUCCUGGUGUGGCGGUGAAAUGCGCAGAUAUCGGGAGGAACACCAGUGGCGAAGGCGACUUCCUGGCCUGUUCUUGACGCUGAGGCGCGAAAGCUAGGGUAGCAAACGGG